UACAGAGGUCCCGAGCGUUGUUCGGAUUCAUUGGGCGUAAAGGGCGCGUAGGCGGCCACCGCAAGUCGACUGUGAAAUCUCCGGGCUUAACUCGGAAAGGUCAGCCGAUACUGCGGGGCUAGAGUGCAGAAGGGGCAACUGGAAUUCUCGGUGUAGCGGUGAAAUGCGUAGAUAUCGAGAGGAACACCUGCGGCGAAGGCGGGUUGCUGGGCUGACACUGACGCUGAUUGUGCGAAAGCUAGGGGAGCGAACGGG
rnacentral:rRNA from 1 species